rnacentral:lncRNA from 1 species
UAUCCAAAGCCAUAGUUUUGAAGAUUUGCGUGAGCCUCUAUUAUGGAGAUAAGCGUAAUAUUCUUCAUGAACAUUCUCCUAAAUGUAAGACUGACAUUCCAAGCCGUAAUUCUGUGACAACGAAAAAAUUGGUUCAGGAACUAAAAAUCCAUUAUCAUUCUUCAAAUCGUGAUUAUCCUCUUCUUCGCAGCCGCUAUCACCAGACAAUUCGGCGCGGGUGAGCACUCGUCGGGGAGAGCCACAACCAAAGGAUCUCGUAGACGGCAAGCUAAAACUAACUUUGAGAUAACCAGUACUGGUCCUAUUAAACAGUUUGAUGGAUUGAAAUGCAGACGGCGUCUCUGAAAACCUAGAGACAAUAUUG